CACUUCCCCUCUUUCUCCGAAAACCCUAAAGACAUAAAAUCUAUGAGAGGUAACAUAUCACUAAGCCAAAUAUUACACUUUUUAUCGCCCACACUUGAAAAAACACAAAACUCCAACCUAAUUUCUAUCUUCACCUCUCCACACCCAACAUUCAUCUUGUUCCAGCUUCAGAGAAGAGAGAGCGAGAGAGAGAUUUCUUAAAAUAUGUUGUCAUAGUCAAAUCUGGAGCCAUCUAAAAGAUCAAAAAUCUAUAUUCGAGUGGGUCUACACCAAAAAAAGCGAGAAACCCAGAUUCCACUUGGUCUAGUCAUGGUGAAGAUGAGACGAUUAAGAACGGAGAAGAAGAUUGGGUGAAAAAAGUUUCAAAGAUUGUAAAGACAUCUAGUUUGGUAAAGUAUUGUGGAUCUAAGAGGAGUUUCAAUUUUCUCAGAACAAAUAGAGCUGCAACGAUGGUGACGUGAAGAAGAUCAGAGAUAAUUUCUACCCCUCAUCCUAGUGUUGACUUUAGAUGGAUGCAGCUGAAACAUGAGCUGCAAUAAAAGGGUGUUGAAGAGUCAUUACUUUAACGAAAGGGGAUAAGAGAGCCAGAAAUGCUAGGACACAAGGUUAGAUUUUUUUGGUUGAAGAUAGGGGAUAAGAGAGCCAGAAAUGCUAGGACACAAGGUUAGAUUUUGUUGUUGUUAUACAGUGUUACUAAACAAGACCUUGAAACUCUUGGCUAGAGAGUCUGCUUCCUAUCAAUUUGUAUUGCUGCAUUUGGUUUGACAUUUACUUAAAUGUGCAGCUUCUAAAAAUACUUUCAGCUUAGUCUCUUUUCUUUGUCCAUUGCUAGUUUUAUCUGUGAGUCUUUCUCACUUUGCCUCAAUGAUCUAGUCCUUAAUUUUGCAGUUGGACGAUCAUCCCACUUAUUAUAAAAGGUUUUCUAUGGCCCCUUUGAUUUCCUUGUAUUGAUAGAAGAAUGAGGAUGCCCAACACUUUUGAAGCUGACAUGUCGUAUUAUCCUUAAAACUUGUAAUUAAGGUUCCAAGAUUAAUCUAAAGAGAGAGUGGAGAUCCUAGCUUUGUCCAAGAACAUGAUGAUCUACAGCUCCAUAUACCUUCUAUAUCUCCUCAGUUUGGAUGAGUUACAUGUAUAUGUUCUUAGAAGUUUGUUACUUUUUUUUUGUGAUGUAAAUUUUAUUUUAAUUAAGAUUGGUGGCACUUGAUUUUAUGUAAGACUACUUUUGGUUAACAUAAUAUUAAUUUUAUGUACAUGUUGAUAA